CUUGCGGCCCGAGGAUGGUAGAUUGCUGACUCUUGGUCUACAUAUUUCAUCAUUUAGUGGUCCUAUGAUCCUUGUUUUUAAAAGGAAAUAAAAGUUAUUCCAAAAAGAAAAUAAAAAGGCAACACACGGAGGAUGCAGGAUUAGUAUUCAGUCCCAGAAAUGUGUGUGGAUAAGCCUGAUCCAUGGAAAAUGUGUAAAAGGAAGUAACCUUAAACCUAAACAGCAUACAGCUUAUAACUUGAAUCCGUAUUCAAGUUAAUAGAAAAAAACAACAGCACUGUUUGUUCCAUUUCUGUGGAAGAAGAACCAAAACUCCUUGUUUACAUCUGUUAUAAUAAGGUUUGUUUGCAACCUGUUUUCCCAAAGAUUUUUUUUAACAUAUAGACACAUCUCAUCAUAUCUUUUUUCUUAACAUCUUCUGCUCGAAGGAGCUUUGUGACUUCCUUCUAUCACGUCUAAUAGUUUACCAAUUAAUUGCAUUCUAUUUUGUUUCUUUUUUCAGUUACAUCAAUACCUAUCUCAUAACAUUGUUCGGCAUAAAUAAGUGAUAUUUUAAUCUUACAAAUCUUCUGACAGUCCUACUCUGUUUUCCCAAAGAAAACCCACGGUCGCUCAUGAUUCUUACUCCAUUGGGGAUUUCACCUGAGGGAAAGGGAAGCAGAGGGCUGGUCCAGCGGUGCCAGGGAGAGAAAGUGAUGUGGCGUCAGCUUCAAUUUGGCUCUUCCCAUUGCAAGAGCCAAUUAAAAGUUGCACCUCGGAAGUCGAAGAGACUUCAAGAACUAUACGACUGUAUUCCUAGCUCAAAAUGCCUGCAGAUUACAAAGGCACAGGCAGGCAGGUGGGGGAGCCCGAAAAGGUGCUCCCCUUCUCCAUCUCCAUCCGCCUGCCUGCCUCCUCCCACCCCCAAACUGAGCAAGCCCUGAUACCUCUCUGGCUCCGUCCAUCCAGGUCCCCAUCUCCACUCCCCUGGGACUCACCAGAUCUCUCGGAGGUCCCUGGGAGGGAGCGCUCAGAGGUUGUGGGGAGGGAUGCAGGAGACAACCUGACCAGGUCAACUGUCCAUCUUCCUCCUUCCAUCCUCACUAGCUUUGCAGGAUCCGUCUCUUUCAUCCUUCCUGAGGAGCCAAAACAAUGGGAGAUAAGGAACUGCUUAUAGCCAUGGAGACGUACUUACAAAUUGGCUCUGACUUUGGGAACUUUUCCCUUCUUUUGGAUACCAGUUAAAAACUACUGUAUCCAGCUGUCCUUUGGGAUUAAAAGAUGUUAGCUUGAGGAAUCUGAACAGUCUUUUGGAAAUUGGCGGUACAGAAGAAGGGGAAAGGAGAAACUCCAAAUUUUGGGGUUUGGAGGUAUAAGAGGGAGCUAGCAGGGAACUCUUGGCACUAUUGAGGGGAUACCUCAGGAAGUGGGAAAGAGCCUGGAUUAGAUCUCAAAGCAACCUCAUUGCCUCAUUAUCAGCGGCUGCCAAGAAAGACCUGCCGACUGGAACUCCAGCAUAUCUGUGAUUUAAACAUCAAAUCAAAUUUGCCAUGGGAUUACAGUAAGGCUUAAAGUGGAGACACAACUUUUGGAACUAUUGCAAAUCACCACUGUCUGGGACAAUACAAGCAGAUAAGGACAAAUUAAGUACAACUUUGCCCUUAAAGACAUAAAACUGAAAUAGCACUGUGCUGACCUCUCUUUAUUGGACCUUUUAAUUUUGUUUUUUGUCUCUCCCUUAUAAUUGUAUAUUUUAAGUUUCUGAACUUUAUUGGAUGUUCUUCUUCCUCUUUGCUAUUUUUUGUGAUAUUUUAUGAUUGUAAUACUUGCUGCUGUGUGGAGGGAGAAGGUAGACAAAAGCGAAAGAGAAACUGGAAAAUAAUUUUGGAAGGGGGGAAACAAUCUCACGGUCAGACGGAGUUGGAACUGGCAGGUGUGACCUUGGACAGCUUAAAUAACACUGGGAACCAACUGAUAUAGAGAUGGCAGGGAAGGAAGGAGCAAUAACUAGAAAAGCCGCAGCUGCGGCUGCAACUAGACGGGCAAGUGUCCAAGAAGAAUUGCCUGAUAAGGGGGGAAGAGAAGAGACAGAUUUGCUUGCACAGCAACUUUUGGAAUUCAGGAAAGAAAUGGUUCAAUCGAUGCAAAACUUUACACAACAGGUCCAUAGUGAUAAGGAAAAAUCUAAUCAAACCUUGAUUGAACAAGUCCAUAGAGAUAUUGAAAACUCCAACAGAGUUUUGAAAGAACAAUUUGGGAUACUGGGAGAUAAGGUUAACAAGUUGGAAACCACAGUAGAUAAAUUGGAAAAGACCAAAGAGGAGACAGGAGAAUUGAGAGAGGAACAAAAAGGGAUGAGGGGGACUUUGGGAGGGGUUCAAGGGAAGCAGAAUGAAUUGGAGGAUCAGAUUCUUCUUUUGCAGCUAAAGGAAAGACAUAGAGAGAUUAAGAUUAAGGGGAUUCCCAUAAUAUGAUACAGAGUCAAACUUAGAAACAUGUUACACAGACAAUCUUGAUGGGAGAAAGGAGGGAUUAGCUGGAUGGUCUUUCAGAGAGCUGUUUCAUAAUUAGGACAAGAGAGCGAAGGCAGCCAGGAGAUCGUUUUAUUAACAUUAGUAUAUAAAAAAAGAAGGAUGCAAUCCUUCAAAAGAGUUUUGAAGACAAUCUCAUGGUUGUUGGGCAGAAAGUAGAUAUUUUUCAGGAAAUUUCACUGAAAUUGAGACUUAGAAGGACCAGAUAUAGGUUUUUAACAACAGCACUUAGGAGAGUUGACAUCAGACACAAAUGGGAAUUCCCAGAAGGCAUAUCUUUUACAUUUAUGAAAAAGAGAUACAGGCUAACAUCAGAAUUUCAAGCGAGAGAGUUCUUUGAAAAAUACAAGAGAGACUUCGAGCCAAAACAAGACGGGGGGAUCCAGUAGCAGAACAAAGAGCUGCUUUGGAGCGGCUAUCAUUGGAAGGGGCAAUACCCCAAAAAACAGAUAUUGUAACUGACUCUGACAAUGACCAAUCUUAAAAUAUUGAGCUGGAAUGUUAAUGGAUUAAACUGUAAAGCCAAACGCAUUCAGCAUGUAAUAGCAAAGCAGAAAUUAGAUAUAAUCUGUCUCCAAGAAACACAUAUUGAAAAAACAAAAAAACUCCUAAUUAAUAAAAAAUUAGGUUUGGACUUCAUCUCAUCAGACAAAACAAAAAAGAGAGGAGUUUUUUACAUUAAUCCUGCACUUGAACCCAAACUGAUUCAGAAGGAUGAAAAAGGUAGAAUCUUAGUAAUACAAGUUAAAAUCCAGGGGGAGGAAGUGAUAUUGGUUGGUAUUUAUGCACCCAAUGACAAAAAAGCAAUCUUCUUCAAAAAGUUAGAAACUGAACUACUCGAAUUUGCAGAUCAAAAGAUGAUCUUAAUGGGAGACUUAAAUGGAGUUCCAUCUCUAGAUAAAGACAGGUCAGCCAGGAAAAAAGAGACAAAGGAAGGUAAAUUACCAAAGACUUUUUUUGAUAUGGCUCAAAACUUAAAUUUGAUAGAUAUAUGGAGAAUCAAACAUAUGUUUGAUAAAGAGUUCACUUAUUACAGCUAUGUACAUGAGAGCAGCUCGAGAAUAGAUUCCCUAUGGCUCUACAAAGAAUUGGAGACAAAAGUCAAAGAAAAAUGAAAUUAAUCCCAGAACCUUUUCAAAUCAUAAUUCCUUGAUUAUGGAAUUACAAAAAGAAAGUCAAAUUUCUUUUAGAUGGAGGUUAAAAGAUGAUUUACUUGAUGAUCAAAAAUUUAUGGAAAAAGCAAAAAAGACCUUGAUGGACUAUUUUGAAAUAAACUGUCAAGAACAGACAAAAAUCACAGACAGUCUGGGACGAAAGUAAGCCAGUAAUGAAAGGACUCUUUCUACAACAAAAUUCAUACAAAAGGAAGUUGAGAGAGAAAAGGAAAAAGGAGAUCCUAGCGAAAAUUACAGAAAAGGAGAAACAGCUGUCAGACAAAACAAACAAGGAGGCAGUGAAACAGGUAAUUAAAACUUUACGAACUCAAUACUCAAUGAUAAUUAAUGAGGAAAUUAGUUGGAAAAUAAAAAGAGUGCAACAAAAAUAUUUUGAGCAUUGAAAUAAACCGGGGAAACAGCUAGCUUGGCAGUUAAAGAAAAAUGAACAGAGGAACUCCAUAAAUAAAAUCAAUCUAAA